AUCGCUUCUCGGCCUUUUGGCUAAGAUCAAGUGCAGAAUUAUCCAACACAGAGGACUACGAUUUUGGAUGAUUCACACUGUCAUAGAACAAAUUUUUUAAAAACAUGUGGUUACGAAUGAUUUCCUUUCUGUGUUGGGUGAACUUCUAAGUAAAUUCAGAUAUAUUUAAAUGAGUUCUGAUUUC